rnacentral:misc_RNA from 1 species
GUUUGAGACUGCUCCAAGUACAAAUUCAAUUGUGUGAAUGAGCUGAUGAACAAAAAUCUCACUGAACUCGAAUUCUCCAUGAUGACCAGAAUCAUCAUUACUCUCCACUAAUAAAGACUCUUCUGCCUCCUGAAGUGCUGUGUAGGACUGUCCUUGGUGCCUUUCAUGCUGAGCUUUCAAUAGGAAGGGCUUUGGAAAAAGCAUCCAUGGGACAGCAACAAGGGCCGAGAGUAGCAGGACAAGCUGAGUCAUCUUCUGACCAGCAAAAAGUUGGUUUUCGCCGAGCUCAUCUGUCGGGCUAAGAAACAUGUAUAUCAUUACAUGGUAU